rnacentral:rRNA from 1 species
CGGAUGCUCCAGUUGAUCGCAUGGUCUUCUGGGAAAGCUUUCGCGGUAUGGGAUGGGGUCGCGUCCUAUCAGCUUGACGGCGGGGUAACGGCCCACCGUGGCUUCGACGGGUAGCCGGCCUGAGAGGGCGACCGGCCACAUUGGGACUGAGAUACGGCCCAGACUCCUACGGGAGGCAGCAGUGGGGAAUAUUGCACAAUGGGCGCAAGCCUGAUGCAGCGACGCCGCGUGAGGGAUGGAGGCCUUCGGGUUGUAAACCUCUUUUAUCGGGGAGCAAGCGAGAGUGAGUUUACCCGUUGAAUAAGCACCGGCUAACUACGUGCCAGCAGCCGCGGUAAUACGUAGGGUGCAAGCGUUAUCCGGAAUUAUUGGGCGUAAAGGGCUCGUAGGCGGUUCGUCGCGUCCGGUGUGAAAGUCCAUCGCUUAACGGUGGAUCCGCGCCGGGUACGGGCGGGCUUGAGUGCGGUAGGGGAGACUGGAAUUCCCGGUGUAACGGUGGAAUGUGUAGAUAUCGGGAAAGAACACCA